UGGUGGCCCUGCCCAGCUCGAUCUGCCACUGCGACCGGCUCUGCGACGUGCUGCUGCAGGGCAACGACCUGCGUUCGCUGCCAGAGGAGCUCGGCCAGGUGCGGAGCAUCAGGACGCUGCUGCUGCACGACAACCACUUGGAGGUC
rnacentral:SRP_RNA from 1 species